rnacentral:rRNA from 1 species
CAGCGCCACGAGUGGCAAUCGCUAUUAUUGGGCCUAAAGCGUCCGUAGCAGGUUUUGAAAAUCUCUUGUGAAAUUGUUCAGCUCAACUGAGCAACGUGCAUGAGACACUACAUAACUAGGGACCGGGAGGAGUCAGAGGUAUUCAAUGGGGAGCGGUAAAAUGCUAUAAUCCAUUGAGGACCACCUAUGGCGAAGGCAUCUGACCAGAACGGAUCCGACUGUGAGGGACGAAAGCCAGGGGAGCGAACCGGAUUAGAGACCCGAGUAGUCC